UACGUAGGGUGCGAGCGUUGUCCGGAAUUAUUGGGCGUAAAGGGGUCGUAGGCGGUUUGUCGCGUCGGGAGUGAAAACCUCGGGCUUAACUCGGGGCUUGCUUUCGAUACGGGCAGACUGGAGGUAUGCAGGGGAGAACGGAAUUCCUGGUGUAGCGGUGAAAUGCGCAGAUAUCAGGAGGAACACCGGUGGCGAAGGCGGUUCUCUGGGCAUGACCUGACGCUGAGGAGCGAAAGUGUGGGGAGCGAACAGG
rnacentral:rRNA from 1 species